rnacentral:rRNA from 1 species
GACGAACGCUGGCGGCGGGCUUAACACAUGCAAGUCGAACGGAAACGCCCUGCUUUCGUGGGCUGCCCGAGUGGUGAACGGUUGAGACACACGUGAGUAACCUGCACUUGUCUUUGGGAUAACUUCAGGUACCUGGGGCUCAUACCGGAUAGGAGCUUCUGCUGCAUGGUGGGGGUUGGAAAGUUUCGGCGGAUGGGGAUGGACUCGCGGCGUAUCAGCUUGUUGGUGGGGUAGUGGCUUACCAAGGCUUUGACGGGUCGCCGGCCUGAGAGGGUGACCGGCCACAUUGGGACUGAAAUACGGCCCAGACUCGUACGGGAGGCAGCAGAGGGGAAUAGUGCACUAUGGGCGGAAGCCUGAUGCAGCAACGCCGCGUGGGGUAAGACGUCCUUCGGGUAGUAAACCACUGUCGCCUGAGACGAAGCGUGAAUGACGGUAACGGGUAAAUAAGCACCGGCUAACUACGUG